rnacentral:misc_RNA from 1 species
UAAAUGCGAUACGUAAUGUGAUACGCAAGUUGUAGUGAAUCAUUGAAAUCUUGAACGCAAAUUGCGCUUUUAAGUGAAAGCUUGAAAGCAUACUACCUUGAGGGUGGACACGAGUCCAAUAAAAUUAUCGUUAGAUAAUUUUAUUUUAAAUGGUGUGGGUGGGAAUAAAUUAAUUUAUUUUAUAUUAUUCCUCUCCCAUUAAAAAAAAAAGAUUAUAAUAAUUAUAAUAUAUUAUUAAAAUCGAAUCCCCUUUUUUAUUUAUAUCCACCUCAUGGUAGUAUGAAGUACCCGCUGAACUUAA